UUUCAGUGGUGCCCAGGGACAGGACAAGAGGAAAUGGGCACAGACUGGAACACAAGAAGCUCCAUCUAAAGAUGAGGAGGAAGUUCUUCCCUUUGAGGGUGGCAGAGCCCUGGAAGAGGCUGCCCAGAGAGGUGGUGGUCUCCUUCUCUGGAGACAUUCAGAUCCACCUGGACACCUUCCUGUGCAACCUGCUUUGGCAGGGGGGUAUUCUGUGAUUGUCACGCUGAGAAAUACAGAUUUCUCUUCGGGAAAUCCGCAGCCAUAAAACUUUUGAUUACAGGCAUGUCGUUAUGAGAUGUUUAGCUGGUGGGGCCAGCCCUUUUCCCUCUCUGCGGGUGGAAGAAGGUGGUGAACUUUUAAAGGAAUUAGAAGGGCAAAGAUCUACUCUGGCAGUUUUGGACAGAGGAAUUCAGAGUCAGACCCAGCUGGGAUAGGAAAGAUGAGCUGUGCUGGAAUAUAUUGUUGGUGACAAGUUCUUUCACCUUAUCACCCUGAGAGUGAUAAACUCUGCAAGGAUGUUUGGGGUUUUUUCUAUUAAUUUUUUUUUUCCCUUCACUUCUCUUUGUACUGUUAAAUAAAAAUACACUUUGUGCCUGUAUGGCAGGUCAGCUCCCACUCACCUAUCCCAUGUCCAUGAGGGGUCUGAGCUGCAACACAUAACCUGGGGGGUGUGCAGCCUGGGACCUCCAGGAGCUGGGUCGGAGGUCCCUGAAAGGAGGGACCUUCUCUGGAGAACGUGCCUGAAGAAAUCAUGGGACCCGUGCUGGGUUUAGUCCAAGACUCUCUGUUCAUGUAUCUGGGUGGAGUUUCAGAGCCAACAGGCUGCGUGGCGUGCAGGUUGGGCACUUUGCCUAUCUUCUCGGUCCUCCCCCUGAGGAGGCCACCCAUACCAGAGAAAGCAACGGUGCUGACAUCUACUGGUUAUUAUUCAGCUGUUAAUUAUUAGUAACACAUGGUGUCCUUUCUGAAUGACAUGCAAACGGUCCAGCACCUUGCGACGUCGCCAAAUGCACUGCGGAAGGUUCAGCUUCUCUUGUCCUUUCUGGUCUUCUCCGGUGGCAUCUCCAGUUAUAACGUGGUUUCCUCAUUUCACUCUUCUGCAUUAAGGUGCCAAGUACCUUCCUGGUGGGUGCUGCGCGGGGCUGCAGAGCGGCUGCAGGUGGGUUGGAGGCACAAAGUAGAACACAUCAACAGUACCUGGUAUUUGCCACGUGAUAAUGUGUUGCUGAGAUGGAAUUGUGGAGCUGGAGUGGACUUGCAAAGAGAACAUAACAGCAUGAAUUAGAGCUUCAAAUACUGGGAAUAGUCACAUUUUUUAAAUGCAAAAUGAGCGAGGAGACCAGCAAAGUGCUAAGCAGAGAUAGUGCUACUUUUCGGCUUCUCAAAGUUUUAUUACAGGAUAGUUGAGGUGGGAAGAGACCUCUUCCAAUCAUCUAAUCCAACCCCUGCUCAAAGCGGGGCCACCAAGAGCCCAGGGCUGUGUCCAGUCACGUGUUGAAUAUCUUCAAGGGUGGAAGAUACAGUCAGCCUCUCCGGGCAGCCUGUGCCUGUGUUUGACCGAUCUCACAGUAAAAGUGUUUUCACUUUUUUGUUCAGAUGGAGUUUGAGGUUUCUCGUUUGUGCCCACGGCCUGUUGUCCUGUCAGCAGGCUCUGCUGAGAUGGGCCUGGCUCCCACUUCUCCAUUCCCUCCUUUCACGUAUCCAUGCGCACUGAUGGGAUAUCCUAAGGAGGAGUUAGUCUUCCUUGCUAUGGACAUCCCCUCUGGUCUCAGGCACGUGGGAUUUCUGAAGACUGGUCUUACCAGUGAAGUCUGAGGUGAAGGUGGCCUUGGCCUUGUUUGGAGACAAGAGACAAGUUCUCUAGACUUGGUCUACAGAACAAGUCAUACGAGGAGGGAGCUGGGCACAUUUAGUUUGGAGGAGACUGAGGGGAGACCUCAUUGCCCUCUACAACUCCCUGACAGGAGGUUGUAGAGGGGUGGGUGUUGGCUUCUUCUCCCAAGAGGAAAUGGUCUGAAGUUGGGGCAGGGGAGGUUUAGAUCAGAUAUUAGGAAGAAUGACUUUACUGAGAGGGUGGUCAGGCACUGGAACAGCCUGUCCAGGGAGGUGGUGGAGUCACCAUCCCUGGAGGGAUUUAAGAAACGUGUAGACAUGGCACUUCAGGGCAUGCUCUAGUGCCUGAGAUUGUUGGGUUGGGUGUUUUGUUUUGUAUUUGGUGGUGUGUUGGUGCGUGGUUGGUUGGUUGGUUUGUUUUUUGGUUUUGGUGUGUGGGGUUUUUUUUUGUG
rnacentral:lncRNA from 1 species